rnacentral:rRNA from 1 species
CGAGCGGUAACAGAUCUAGCUUGCUAGGUGCUGACGAGCGGCGGACGGGUGAGUAACGCGUAGGAAUUUACCUAGUGGCGGGGGACAACAUGCGGAAACGCAUGCUAAUACCGCAUACGCCCUAUGGGGGAAAGCAGGGGGGACCUUGCACCAUUAGAUGAGCCUGCGUGAGAUUAGCUAGUUGGUGAGGUAAGAGCUCACCAAGGCGACGAUCUCUAGCUGGUCUGAGAGGAUGAUCAGCCACACUGGGACUGAGACACGGCCCAGACUCCUACGGGAGGCAGCAGUGGGGAAUAUUGGACAAUGGGGGCAACCCUGAUCCAGCCAUGCCGCGUGUGUGAAGAAGGCCUUAGGGUUGUAAAGCACUUUCAGUUGGGAGGAAAAGUUAUAGUUUAAUAAACUAUAGCCCUGACGUUACCAACAGAAGAAGCACCGGCUAACUCCGUGCCAGCAGCCGCGGUAAUACGGAGGGUGCAAGCGUUAAUCGGAAUUACUGGGCGUAAAGCGCGCGUAGGUGGUUUGUUAAGCGAGAUGUGAAAGCCCCGGGCUCAACCUGGGAACUGCAUUUCGAACUGGCAGGCUAGAGUAUGGUAGAGGUAAGUGGAAUUUCCUGUGUAGCGGUGAAAUGCGUAGAGAUCGGAAGGAACAUCAGUGGCGAAGGCGGCUUCCUGGACUGAUACUGACACUGAGGUGCGAAAGCGUGGGGAGCAAACGGGAUUAGAUACCCCGGUAGUCCACGCCGUAAACGAUGUCUACUAGCCGUUGGGAGACUUGAUCUCUUAGUGGCGCAGCUAACGCAAUAAGUAGACCGCCUGGGGAGUACGGCCGCAAGGUUAAAACUCAAAUGAAUUGACGGGGGCCCGCACAAGCGGUGGAGCAUGUGGUUUAAUUCGAUACAACGAAGAACCUUACCUGGUCUUGACAUCCUACGAACUUACUAGAGAUAGUUUGGUGCCUUCGGGAACGUAGUGACAUGUGCUGCAUGGCUGUCGUCAGCCGUGUGUGAAAUGUGGUAGUCCCGUACGAGCGCACCCUGUCUAGUGCAUCAUUAGUGGGACUCUAGAGACUGCCGUGACAACGAGAGCGGGACGACGUCAGUCAUCAUGCCUACGGUAGGCUAACCACGUGCUUCAUGGCAGUACGAAGGGCGCUAAGGCGCGGAGGGGAGCUUAUCUCCAAAACCUGUCUUAAUCCGGCAUGGAUCGCAACUGCACUCUUGAUCGGCAACGCUUAUAACUGGAAGCGAAAAGUGCAGCGGUGGAAAAAAAUAUCG